UGGGAGGUGGGUGGCUGCACACUCAAAACUGGCUUCCAACGGGACACAGACAUCAAAACAAAGAAGAGGGCCUCACGACAGGGUUGCCUUGCUUACUCAGCCCACAGCUCUCAAACCGUUGCGCGAGGAAGAGCACGCAGGAGAACAGGAUGCAUGCAUUAUUCUCCACGACUGAUACAGAAGUAAAUUCCAGAAAGCUUUAAAGUCAGUUUGUAUAAAGAGAGGUUCUCUUUGACUGUGAAACAGAAGAAAAUCUUUCCUUAACAAUAACUUACACGUGCCAUGAAAGAGAUGAAGCAGAAGAUUAAGCAGGAAACCCAGCUACUUUUUUGCCCUAAGGCAUUACUCAUUUUCCUGACACAUUAUGUUUUUAAUUAAAAUUACAUGUG
rnacentral:lncRNA from 1 species